UCGCCAUCGCCAUGUUUUGAAAGUUCACGGUUUUAUUUUCUCGCAGCUUUUUUGUCGCGGCUAGUUUUUCUCGUUUUAUUGUGAUUAUUUCGCAAGUUAUUCGGCAAAAAGAAUGUGUGUAAUAAAGUGAAAUUUUAUCAUCAAACUGGAUACGGGAGUGACGAUCUUUUUUUUGGAUUUUUCGACGAAAAUAUCGGUUAGGAUUUCGCGGAUUUCAACGCCGAUGAUAAAGGAGAAAAAGGACGGAUUUUAGGUAACGGGACUACAUGCGUAUCCUGGUCAUGGAGAGCUGCGAUGGCUCAGGUGAAACCGGUAAUUUUUUUAUGCCGCUGUUCAAGAAACAAACGACGAGAGAUCAAGUUCAGUGCUAGAGUGCUAUUUAGACGUACACAAAAUCAUCAAGCAGCUAUGGAAGUUUACGGCUUUAAACACGAUUCUAGCACUUCGAUGCGCCUCGAUGGAUUCGCAGUUUGCGACCAUUCACAUGCUGUCGGAUGUGAUCGUUUCCAUGCCAGGUCGAAACUGUCAGCGGUGCAGCACUGUGUUCGACGAAGGGACCAUAGUUUUGAGAUGGAUUUCAGCGAGCAGCUAAAGGGGACCUUGUGCAGGUUUCCCGAGACAAAACAGAUGGUGCAACACUGCCGAAGCUGUUGGGCUGGCUUGAAUGAUCCAAUGCUGAUCCGAUUGCACGUAGAGUUGAGAAUUCUGGAAGCCCUGUGAUUCCGAUGCACACUGUGUUCGACGGGACGGGAAGCAGCAUCACGUUGAUUUGAUUUCUCUGGUUAAGAAUGGAAUGGCCUCUACGGCCUCUACAUUGUCUUCUUGUCGCUCGGUUCAUAACUGCACGUUACCAACAACACAGUCUACGAAGGAGCCGUAAAUCAUCUUCUCGAUCGUUCCUCUCAUCUCAGCUUCUCAUGCCCAAUUUUUAAUGUGGAAGGAAAAGUCCGUAAUUAUCUACUCUGAUUCGGUCAACACAUUCGUGCACGGCAACUUUGAAGACUAUCAAAAAGUCUGACUUGCUUCACCGGGCAAUGCCCGGAAUGCUAUCAACCAAUCAUUUUGCAACCACUGCGAAAAAGGAUCGUUAAUGUCUUGGAAUUCCAAGAGGAUGUAAAAAAGACCGGACGUAACCGGCUUUGAAGCUCCCCCGCACACAACGGGAAUCCAGCAAGACAUAAGCUACCCGGGGUCUGCGGAUCGAUACUGGUUCCUGGAUUCCCGAUGAUUCUUCAACAUGUGUAUACUGCCGGUUUUGUGAUAGAUCUGCUGAUCUAUAGUGAAAAAAUAUAUA